rnacentral:sRNA from 1 species
AAAUUGAGGCCCAGAAAGAAGCCACCCCUACCCCCAGGUCACAGUCUAGUUACUGGGUGAGCUGGGCUGGGACCCAGGUGUCCUGACUCCCGCCCUGCGUUCUCCCAUGCUCCAUUGUUCUCUUGGGAGACCUCAUGGCAAGCCCAGGCCCCACCACGGAGACCCCUCUGUGAAGGACUGCCCCUUACCCUUUCUCCCUUCCCCAGGACAGAGUCUGUGGCUGAAAAGAUGCUGACCAAUUGGUUCGCCUUCCUCCUGCACAAGUUCCUAAAGGAGUGCGCGGGGGAGCCACUCUUCAUGCUAUACUGUGCCAUCAAGCAGCAGAUGGAGAAGGGCCCCAUUGAUGCCAUCACGGGCGAGGCCCGCUACUCCCUGAGCGAGGACAAGCUCAUCCGGCAGCAGAUCGAGUACAAGACCCUGAUCCUGAACUGCGUCAACCCUGACAACGAGAACAGUCCAGAGAUCCCAGUGAAGGUGUUAAACUGUGACACCAUCACA